rnacentral:rRNA from 1 species
UCUGAAGAUGGGGGGACCAUCCUCCAAGGCUAAAUACUCGUGAUCGACCGAUAGUGAACCAGUACCGUGAGGGAAAGGCGAAAAGAACCCCGGGAGGGGAGUGAAAUAGAUCCUGAAACCGCAUGCAUACAAACAGUCGGAGCCUCGCAAGGGGUGACGGCGUACCUUUUGUAUAAUGGGUCAGCGACUUACGUUCAGUAGCAAGCUUAACCGAAUAGGGCAGGCGUAGCGAAAGCGAGUCCGAAUAGGGCGUUCAGUUGCUGGGCGUAGACCCGAAACCAGGUGAUCUAUCCAUGGCCAGGAUGAAGGUGCGGUAACACGUACUGGAGGUCCGAACCCACUAACGUUGAAAAGUUAGGGGAUGAGCUGUGGAUAGGGGUGAAAGGCUAAACAAACCUGGAAAUAGCUGGUUCUCUCCGAAAACUAUUUAGGUAGUGCCUCGUGUCUCACCUUCGGGGGUAGAGCACUGUCAUGGUUGGGGGGUCUAUUGCAGAUUACCCCGCCAUAGCAAACUCCGAAUACCGAAGAGUGCAAUCACGGGAGACAGACAUCGGGUGCUAACGUCCGGUGUCAAGAGGGAAACAACCCAGACCGCCAGCUAAGGUCCCCAAAUAUGGCUAAGUGGGAAACGAAGUGGGAAGGCUAAAACAGUCAGGAGGUUGGCUUAGAAGCAGCCACCCUUUAAAGAAAGCGUAAUAGCUCACUGAUCGAGUCGUCCUGCGCGGAAGAUGUAACGGGGCUAAGCCAUAUACCGAAGCUGCGGAUGCGAGCUAGUCUCGCAUGGUAGGAGAGCGUUCCGUAAGCCUGCGAAGGUGCGUUGAAAAGCGUGCUGGAGGUAUCGGAAGUGCGAAUGCUGACAUGAGUAGCGAUAAAGGGGGUGAAAGGCCCCCUCGCCGUAAGCCCAAGGUUUCCUACGCAACGUUCAUCGGCGUAGGGUGAGUCGGCCCCUAAGGCGAGGCAGAAAUGCGUAGCUGAUGGGAAGCAGGUCAAUAUUCCUGCACCGUCGUUAGAUGCGAUGGGGGGACGGAUCGCGGAAGGUUGUCCGGGUGUUGGAAGUCCCGGUCGCUGCAUUGGAGAAGGCGCUUAGGCAAAUCCGGGCGCAGGAUUCAAGGGUGUGGCGCGAGCUCCUUCGGGAGCGAAGCAAUUGGAAGUGGUUCCAAGAAAAGCCUCUAAGCUUCAGUCUAACGAUGACCGUACCGCAAACCGACACAGGUGGGCGAGAUGAGUAUUCUAAGGCGCUUGAGAGAACUCGGGAGAAGGAACUCGGCAAAUUGGUACCGUAACUUCGGGAUAAGGUACGCCCUGGUAGCUUGACUGGCCUGCGCCAGAAGGGUGAAGGGGUUGCAAUAAACUGGUGGCUGCGACUGUUUAAUAAAAACACAGCACUCUGCAAACACGAAAGUGGACGUAUAGGGUGUGACGCCUGCCCGGUGCCGGAAGAUUAAAUGAUGGGGUGCAAGCUCUUGAUUGAAGUCCCGGUAAACGGCGGCCGUAACUAUAACGGUCCUAAGGUAGCGAAAUUCCUUGUCGGGUAAGUUCCGACCUGCACGAAUGGCGUAACGAUGGCCACACUGUCUCCUCCCGAGACUCAGCGAAGUUGAAGUGUUUGUGAUGAUGCAAUCUACCCGCGGCUAGACGGAAAGACCCCAUGAACCUUUACUGUAGCUUUGCAUUGGACUUUGAACCGAUCUGUGUAGGAUAGGUGGGAGGCUAUGAAACCGGAACGCUAGUUUCGGUGGAGCCGUCCUUGAAAUACCACCCUGGUUUGUUUGAGGUUCUAACCUUGGCCCGUGAUCCGGGUCGGGGACAGUGCAUGGUAGGCAGUUUGACUGGGGCGGUCUCCUCCCAAAGCGUAACGGAGGAGUACGAAGGUACGCUAGGUACGGUCGGAAAUCGUGCUGAUAGUGCAAUGGCAUAAGCGUGCUUAACUGCGAGACCGACAAGUCGAGCAGGUGCGAAAGCAGGUCAUAGUGAUCCGGUGGUUCUGUAUGGAAGGGCCAUCGCUCAACGGAUAAAAGGUACUCUGGGGAUAACAGGCUGAUACCGCCCAAGAGUUCAUAUCGACGGCGGUGUUUGGCACCUCGAUGUCGGCUCAUCUCAUCCUGGGGCUGUAGCCGGUCCCAAGGGUAUGGCUGUUCGCCAUUUAAAGAGGUACGUGAGCUGGGUUUAAAACGUCGUGAGACAGUUUGGUCCCUAUCUGCCGUGGGCGUUGGAAGUUUGAAGGGGGCUGCUCCUAGUACGAGAGGACCGGAGUGGACGAACCUCUGGUGUACCGGUUGUGACGCCAGUCGCAUCGCCGGGUAGCUAUGUUCGGAAGAGAUAACCGCUGAAAGCAUCUAAGCGGGAAACUCGCCUUAAGAUGAGACUUCCCCGGGGACUUGAUCCCCUUGAAGGGUCGUUCGAGACCAGGACGUUGAUAGGUCGGGUGUGUAAGCGCAGUAAUGCGUUCAGCUAACCGAUACUAAUUGCCCGUACGGCUUGAUCCU